rnacentral:lncRNA from 1 species
GCCCGACCUCCCUCCCCGCCCUUUCGCAUGUCCCGCUCUCCCUCCUCUCUUGCCGUCGCCCCUUCGCUUCUUUCCCCCGCAGCCGUGGAGCUCGGGGCGCCUGCCAAAAUGAAGGCCUGUCAAAUCCUAGCUCUGCCUUUUGUUUAACGUGUUCUUACUUCCUAUUUAUGUCAUCACAGAAAGCAAGGAAAGAAGAAAUGUGACUGGUUCCCACUAUUGCUCCGUGCAGGCAUUUUUAAAGGCUGCUGUAUUUCUAUCCUCUUUUUCCCCUCCAAGCUUGACUUUUCCCCUCCUUUUUCGAGGUCUGCUGCUUUGGGUGUCCCAGGCAGGGCUGGGUUCUUCGGCAGGGGUCUUAGGACUCGCUACUGCUUCUGCUUUUUGCGAAGGUGUAUCAAAGUGUGCCGGCAAAAGGACUGUUUUCUCCAGGGGAAAGCUUUCUCUCAAUGACCAUCAAUGCAUGUAUGUGUUUUAGUCGUGUACCCAGAUGGAUUAAGAAAAGCCGACACCCGUAGCAGAUUUCUGUUGGAUCUGUGUCUGUGCGAAGUGGGCUGUGUGCUGGAGACGGAGAGACGCUGUUGGAGAGCGGCAACAGCGGCAGGUGUGAGCUGUGAGGAUGAGGAGGGCUCAGAGCAGCCCCAGGUGUGGGCUGUGAGGAUGAUGAGGAGGGCGCGGCUCCUCCGGCGGCUGAUUUAGGGGGUUUUCCUCGCAAUGCUUUUGCACGGAGCUGCUGGAGGAGAGGAGUUGAUGGGGGGCUCCCGGGGCUCUCUCCUGGAAGGAUGGUGGGCGCUUCGGACAGGGUCCGGGGGAUCACCUGGAAACCCACCUGGAUACGUGGAGCAUUGUUCAAAGGAGGAGCCGAGGGACAAACCUUUGUGCCGAGAAGCAGCAGGGGACGCGAUUGAAGGGAAGCCUACAUUUCUGUGCCCUUGUCGGCGUGAGGUGAGCGCCGGAGCGUGGCGUCAGUCUUCGGGCUUCAGAGGAAGGGAGCUGCAGCCGUGGCAGCGCUGGCAGGGCGGGGAUCGGGCUGUGCCGCUGCAUUCGGGGCGCUUCUUCUGCCCCCGGCCCGGCAGCGAAGGGUGCGGCGCGGAGCCCUGCCGGCAGUGCCGGGGCUGGCCGGGGCGGAAGGGGAGCUGGGCGCGGCUGGGCUGCCGCGGGCCCGCCGGAGCCGCGCCGGUGCGAGCCGUGCGGAGCCGA